UUCCAUAGAGAAUAUAUUCUCGUAAUUUUACCGGUGGACUAAAAGACAGGAUACGAUACGGACGGUAGAUUUUUUUUUACAGUAUUUCAAGUCCUGCCUGCGUUUCUUUCCUUGUGAACCAAACGAGGAGCGAAAAGUGGGAACAGGUGGGUCGGGUCGGGGGGUCUCCGGAAUCCACACGCAAACGCAGUGUCGCGGUGCGAUCGAGAGGUUGGAUGGAAAAGGAAGAAAGGAACGUUGAACCCACGCGCGUGUUGCUGGUUGGCGCCCGGCGUCCGCUCCCCCCCGUGUGCUUCCCCGUCACAUCACAAUAACACGCCGGACUGCCAGCGUUGCUUGUACAUACACAAGCACCCAACCCAAGCAGGGAGCGAGUGGUCAGAGACCAAUUCCGCAAGGGCGCCGAGCAGAACACGAGCAGCUGAAACAAAAGCUAGCAGUGUCUGAAGGCUGGCUGUGACGAGCGAGUGAGCAGUGAGCGAUGCGGAAUCCAGCGCCGGCGUCGUGGGUCCGGCCCAAGAGUAGACCAGGCACACGAGAGGAGGACGUGAGUCAAAGCUGCUGCCUGCCUCCCUCCCUGCACCAGCACCAGCA
rnacentral:lncRNA from 7 species